rnacentral:rRNA from 1 species
AACCUUUACAAUGCACGCAAGUGCGAUAAGGGGACCCCGAGUGUUGGUCGCCUAAGCAUCAGNNGUCUAACUGUCGAAAAAACAGUUAUGUAACAAGAGCCGGGUAAGACCGGUGC